CAAAGUCUAAGAGAGAGAGGAACAGACUGAGAGAGAGGAAGAACGCGCCCCACGCGCGCGACAGAGAGAGGAGAAAACAGUACAGUUCGUCAGUUCUCUCCCGACCGAACGCCGCCGGCGCUCCCGCUGCUGCGUUCCGGUCCGGGAGAGGAUUUGGGUCUGGAAUGGCAGCGUUUGUCGUUGGCGGAAGCGAGUUCCAUGGAUGGAGUUAGGAGGGUCAAGCUCGGGUCUGGCAGAUCGUUUUCGAUCUGUCUUCUCCGAAUCGUGGCCGAUGGCAGACGAGGGGUGGCGCUUGAUUGCGGCUUGCCGGAAGCGAUAUCUGGUGUCUCUGCUGCAUCGGAGAUCUGUGCGGCUACUGGAUGCUCGAUCCCAUGCCAGAGGUGAGGCUGGUGCGGACCUGGCUCCUUUUCGGAUCUGGGUUCGGACGUGGAUCGGGUUCUGGGGUGGCCUUCGUUGGGUUGAGGCGACGCGGCGGCGCAGGGAUGUGGUGCGGCGGCGUAGUGGCCCAAGGAGGCGAUCUGAUGCCGGGGAUUGCUGUUGGUGGUGCUGUCCUUAUGGGUUUGGUGAAGCAUGGUGGUCUGGGCCUGGGCGUUUUCCGCUGGUUUUACUGCUUUUGGGGUUCCUUUUCUUGUUUGGACGGUUGCGUUUGCGGUUCCUUUUCUUUCGCUAUGAGUUUGACUCUCUCUUAGACUUUGUUUUCUUCUUUAUCAAAUAUGACGAUUCCUAUUGAUGAUAAUGCCCAAAUUUGAAGGAUUUACGUGUAUAUCAGCCUUAGAGAGGAGAUCUGCUACUAAAUAUUACAUUUUCCAAUAGGCCGAACCUAUUACCAAUCGCGUGAUGGCCUCCAUCCCGGAGCCUCUUUUUGGUGGACGCAUUAACGUAGUACAGAGUUAUGGUCCUGAUACGCUAGCUGGCUCUAUGAUGUACGACUUCUUUAUGGGAAUUUGGCUGCUGCUGUGACGAAAAAAAAGGGGUCAGAGGAGCCACUUGGACUUUUCUUUACACUCUUGCUGCUCAGGAGGCUUGCAACAACACUAGAGUAAUUGGUAUGUGAAGUAGAUCGAGGAAGAUCCCUGCAAAGUUUAUCUUGAAGUAGAGGAAAAUAACUAACUUGUAAAGCUUAAUCUUGUAAAUUUUGGUAGAAGCUCCAUUCCUUUUGUAACAUUCAUGAGGAAAAUUAAAAUGUAAUAUUUCUUUUUA